CAGGUCACUCCUACGGGAGGCAGCAGUGGGGAAUUUUGGACAAUGGGGGCAACCCUGAUCCAGCAAUGCCGCGUGUGUGAAGAAGGCCUUCGGGUUGUAAAGCACUUUUGUCCGGAAAGAAAACCGCUUCUCUAAUACAGGGGCGGGAUGACGGUACCGGAAGAAUAAGCACCGGCUAACUACGUGCCAGCAGCCGCGGUAAUACGUAGGGUGCAAGCGUUAAUCGGAAUUACUGGGCGUAAAGCGUGCGCAGGCGGUUCGCUAAGACCGAUGUGAAAUCCCCGGGCUUAACCUGGGAACUGCAUUGGUGACUGGCGGGCUAGAGUAUGGCAGAGGGGGGUAGAAUUCCACGUGUAGCAGUGAAAUGCGUAGAGAUGUGGAGGAAUACCGAUGGCGAAGGCAGCCCCCUGGGCCAAUACUGACGCUCAUGCACGAAAGCGUGGGGAGCAAACAGGAUUAGAUACCCUGGUAGUCCACGCCCUAAACGAUGUCAACUAGUUGUCGGGUCUUCAUUGACUUGGUAACGAAGCUAACGCGUGAAGUUGACCGCCUGGGGAGUACGGUCGCAAGAUUAAAACUCAAAGGAAU
rnacentral:rRNA from 1 species